rnacentral:lncRNA from 1 species
CGUCGUUUUUUCUUACUUGGGGUUCGUAGGGUAUCUAUGAGGCAGUCAACGCGGGGCACAGCCCAGGCUCCGCGGAGCACAAUCACUGGGUCUCCGAAUGCCUCCAGGUGGACUAUCCCUCCCCAGGAAGCAACGCAGGUAACAGAUGGCUGGACUUUCAUAAAGAGCUGCUGCAAACACCUCGGGGCUGAGCCGGAUCAAGCAGCUGGGACUGGGGCCCCAUGCGGGGCGGGUGGUCACGUCUCAGGAGCGGACUCAGACCAGCCCCAAGAUCCUCCGGGUGGGCGGGGCCUGAGCCGGGCAGCUCCUCCCCGCCGGGGCGGGCUCACAAAGACGACUCCUCCUGACGGACGCGCCCACUCUCAGCCUUGGGGACGCCGGCGGAGAUGCUGCCUCGUGGGGUCUUGGCCCAACUUUUUAGGCCCAGCCUAAAGCCCCUCCUAAUUGGGUGGAGCGCGACUUGCUGAAGGGGUGGUUGCGGGAGAGGGGAGUUUCACUCUUGUUGCCCAGGCUGGAGUGCAAUGGCGCGAUCUCGGCUCACCACAACCUCCGCUUCACGGGUUCAAGUGAUUCUCCUGCCUCAGCCUCCCCAGUAGCUGGGAUUACAAGUAUGUGCCACCACCCCGGCUAAUUUUGUAUUUUUAGUAGAGACGGGGUUUCUCCAUGUUGGUCAGGCAGGUCUUGAACUCCUGACCUCAGUUGAUCAGCCCACCUCGGCCCCCUAAAGUGCCGGGAUUAUAGGCGUGAGCCACUGCACCAGGUCCAGAUUUAUUUCUGUUGUCUGCAAUUGAACUCUGACACAUGUAGCUUAAACAAAGAGGUGCUUGUUUUUAAUACAUGAUAAAAAGUUCAGGAAUAGGAAACUGUUGAUGUUGGUUAAGAAACUUGUCAGGGCCUUCUCUGGGAUUCUCUUGACUUUUCCUCCUUGGCACAAGAUGGCUGCUAAACCUCUAGCCAUCACAGCAAAAUGGGAUAGAUGCACCCUAUGGAAUUCUAUACAGCAGUUAGAAAAAAAUCUAUCAGAUGAUAAACCAGACAUCUCUGAUUAUCUAACACAAUCCCUGUUCAUAACUCCCCUUCUCUCUAGUUACCUUUCAGUUAGGUGUUAUCAUGUAAUGCAGUUUUGGCCAAUGAAAUGCAAACAGAAGUCUGAUGGAUAGGGAUUCUAGGAAAAAAGUUCAUGCUGUUGUUGUAAAUAAAUUUUCAAUGCUGCAAGGAAAUAGCACUCGAACAUAAAUUUAAUUUUCUCAGCAUGGCAAUUUUUACUUCUAUAGAAGGGUGCGAGUCGUGAAUGGAACAAUGGCAAGAGCACACCUGGACAGGAGAGGAGAAGGAGUUCUUAUUCCUGACACACGGCCCUACUGCUGUGGCGUUCCCCUAUUGGCUAGGGUUGGACCGCACAGCCUAAGCUAAUUCCGAUUGGCUAUUUUAAAGAGAGCAGGGAUAUGAGUUAGAGUGGCGGGGUGGGUAGUUUGGCGGGAAGGACAGUUAGGAACAGGGAACUAAAGGUGACUUAGAUCAGAGCAGGUGACCAGGGUGACUCAGGUCAAAGCAGGUGACUGGGAUGACUCAGGUCAAAGCAGAUAAACGGGAUGAGUCAGGAUGGAGCAGCUGACCAGAGAACAGAUGUGAACUACUGAUUAGGACUAGAGGGAAAGUUGUUUACUAAAACCAGGAGCAAGGGAACGGAAGAGAACCAGGAAGCUAAACUUUAAAAUGGAUAAUCAAAGAAUAAGAGAGCUGAACAUACUGACAUACUGAUUCUUUGAAGAGAAACUUGGGGUUCACUAUAAUUAACACUGUCUUGAUGAAAGAUGUAGAGUGCACCACUUUUUUUCUUUCUUUCUUCCCUCUUUCUUCCCUCUUUCUUCCUGCUUAUAGAAUUCCAUAGUGUGCAUCCACCUCAUUUAGCCUAUCCCUUCUUCCUGCAAUAGAUGCUUAGGUUGCCUCCAACUUCCUGUCACUAUAAAUAAUGCCAAAGUGAACACCCUCAUACGUAUCUAGUUGUGGACCCAUCGGGGUCUCUGAGAUCACUAGAUCACAGGGCACAUACACACUUACUGAGUGGAUACUCAGGUUGCACUCUGUUUCACCAUGUGUGCCUACCAGCAGUGCAUAAGAGUCUCCCUACGUCUUAGACAACACAUGUCAUUAUUCAGCCUUCUAAUGUUUGUCAAUCUGAUAGAACUAUAAAGCGAUAUUGCUAUUUUACAUUGAAUUUUUCUGAUUAUCAACAAGGUGAGCAUCUCUCCACAUGCCCUGCUGGCCAAUCUUGUUUUCCCUCCUGUGAAUUGACUGUUCAUGGCCUUUGCUCAGUAUUCUAUUGAAUUUUCCUAUCCUUUUCUUAUUGAUUUUUCAGGAAUUCUUUUAAUAUUCUAGAUAAUAAAGCCAUUGUCAGAUGGGUUAUAGAUGAGGCAACUGUACUAUAUAAACCCUUCUGUUAGCUUUAUCUAUGGUGACCUUCAUUGAAAUAGCUCCUGAAUUUUGAUAUGGUUAAAUUCACCAGAAUUUCUCCUUAUACUUUGUGUUCAGGGUCUUGUUUACUAAGAAUUUUCUACUCCAAGAUCACAAAGAUCUUCAUUUCUUUUAUUAAUCUUGCAGUUUUAUUUUUAAUAUUUAGUCUUUAAUUCAUCUGGAAUUCACUUUUAUAAUAUUGAAGAAAUAAUCUGUUAUAGACUAAAUUGUGUCUCCCUCAACCAACCCCAAUUCAUAUAUUGAAGCCCUGACACCAAAAAUGACUGUGUUUGGAGACAGGGCCUUUAAGGAGGUAAUUAAGGUUAAAUGAAGUUAUUAGGGCAGGAUAGGGCCCUAAUCCAAUAGAACUGUUGUCCUUAUAAGAAGAGGAAGAGACACCAGAACUCUCUCUCUCUGUGCCUGCACAAGAAAAGGACACGUGAGGACACAGUCAGAAGGUACCAUCUACAAGCCAAGGAGAGAGGCCUCUCUGGAGACCAAUCCUGCUGACACCUUGAUUUUGGAUUUCUAGCUUCCAGAACUGUGAGAAAAUACAUUUCUGUUGUGUAACCCAUCCAGCCUGUGUAUUUUGUUAAAGCAACCUGAACAGACUAAUAAAGGAUCCAACCUUAUUUUUUUCUCCAUUUAGCAAGAUAACUCCAUCUAUUAAACAAUUCUCUCU